rnacentral:ncRNA from 1 species
GUAAAACCAUUGAGGAAAAGAGUAACCCUUUCCCAUGCGGACAGAGAAGGUGUUCCCUAGGCUGAAAGAACACCCCCGUUAUGAUCGGAUGAAAGACGUUUCCUAGGUGCUGUAUCGAAAGACCAAGUAGGUACAGACGUACACAGGCGUUAACUGUUUUGAGUGGAAGCUUCAUGCUUCAAUCAGGGUGGCAACGCGGGUAGUAACCCGUCCCUUUU